UCAGUACUGAGCUGUGGUAUGAAGCUAUUCCUACUCAAUUCUCUCCGCUGCCUCUCCUUUCACAGGUGUCAGAUAUGCGUCACUACUUGCAAGCUCUUCCCACCUAUUUCUGUUCUUUCUUCGUCUGGACUUCAUGGGAGAUAGAUCUACUGGUUCUCUUGAACAAGUCUAAUGCCAUCUUUGCAUCAACAUCUCAGAGGACCUAAACUGGCCCAUGUGGUAAAUACGCCUUCCCAAGUGAAAAGUGUGCCAAAUAAUAUCAUAAUGAGCAUACUCAGUGUCUGAAAUCAGCCUGCAGAGGUUGGAAAGAGAAAGGCUGAAAAGAAACAAAGAUUAACACAAAGACUAAAACCUCUUAGUCCCUCAAGCAAUGUUUAUAUUCUUGGGAACAUGUGGGAAAAUGGAUAAGUGGCGUCCUUGGAGUUUGCUUUUAAAACUCACUGGAUGUUUCCAAGUGCAAUCACAAAACUUAAUGGAGAUCAGAGGGCCCCUUUACUUGGAAGAAGAAUUUGAACCCCCUUGGUUUGGAAGUAUAUAUCCAAAGGUAUUGAAAGCAGGGACCUGAACAGAUAUUUGCAUACCAAUUUCAUCAUGGUAUUAUUCCCAGGAGCCAAAAGCUGGAAACAAUCCAAGUGUCUUUCAACGGAUGAAUGAAUAAACAAAAUGUCAUAUAAACACACAGUGGAAUAUUAUUCAGCCAUGAAAAGGUAUGAAAUUUUGAUUAAUGUUACAAAUACAGAUGGACUUGAAAACAUUAUGCUUAGUGAAAUAAGCGGAUACUGAAGGGAAAAUAUCAUAUGAUUUCCUUUAUAUGAGAUAUUUGGAGUAGUGAAAUUUAUAGAGAUACAAAAAAGAAUAGAGGUUACCAGGGGCUGGGGGGAGGAAGGAAGGGGAUAUUUACUAUUUAAUUGGUACAGAGUUUUUGUUGAGAAUGAAGAAAAAAUGGAGAGUAUAGAUACUAGUACUAAUUACACAACAUUAUAAAUAUAUCUAAUGCCACUGAAUGUACACUUACAAAUGGUUAUGACAAACAUAAUGUUAUAUAUAAUUGCCACAAUUUAAAAAGUUCAAAAACGACUGGGCCACAUGGCCUCUCAAUUUUUAUGUCCUUCUAAUAUCUCAUUAUAAACCUGUGUCUGCUUAGUAAUAUGCCAGUAGUUCUGCUGAUUCCAGGUUAUAGUUAAAGAUCAAGAGGUACUGCUCAGUAAUAAAGCCUGUGAUUAAUAUUAUAUUUACAGUAUAAUUUCAACUCUGUGAGAGGACAAGAAAGAACAAUGAAAGUGUUUUUUGUAAAUUGUGAAAUAAUUUCCAUAGAUUUCUGUGUUUUCUAAAUUUGCAUUAGCAUUUUAAAAUAAAAGUUAUU
rnacentral:lncRNA from 1 species